GCUGCAUAGUAAGUAAUAGAGAAAUGCCUUCUGUUUUACAGAGUAUCCUACAAGCCAAGACCUAUACUCUCUUGAGAUACGGAAGAGCCAAGCUCAAGGCUUUGCUGUAAAUCAUGAAUAAAGAAAGUUUUGAUCUCAGCAUUUCAGCACAGCAGAUGUUCGCGUGUACCAUGAAAACCCAGCUCAUGAUCAGGAUUAUGAGAAUCUUCCUCAGCAUAUUCACCUGGACGUGAGAAAUCAGUAGCAUAUGAUUUCUAUUACAGGGAUAUGUGCAAUGGUAAAU